AGUGAACGCUGGCGGCGUGCUUAACACAUGCAAGUCGAACGAGAACGGAAUAUAGCUUGCUAUAUUUGUCAGCUAAGUGGCGCACGGGUGAGUAAUGUAUAGAUAACCUGCCCUUAAGAAAGGAAUAACAGUUGGAAACGACUGCUAAUGCCCUAUAUGCCUUUAAUACAUAAGUAUGCAAGGGAAACGCUUUAGUGCUUAAGGAUGUGUCUGUAUGGUAUCAGCUUGUUGGUGAGGUAAUGGCUCACCAAGGCUAUGACGCCUAACUGGUUUGAGAGGAUGAUCAGGCACACUGGAACUGAGACACGGUCCAGACUCCUACGGGAGGCAGCAGUGGGGAAUAUUGCACAAUGGACGAAAGUCUGAUGCAGCAACGCCGCGUGGAGGAUGACACAUUUCGGUGCGUAAACUCCUUUUAUAUAGGAAGAUAAUGACGGUACUAUAUGAAUAAGCACCGGCUAACUCCGUGCCAGCCGCCGCGGUAA
rnacentral:rRNA from 1 species